rnacentral:rRNA from 1 species
GACGAACGCUGGCGGCGUGCUUAACACAUGCAAGUCGAACGGAAAGGCCCUGCUUUUGUGGGGUGCUCGAGUGGCGAACGGGUGAGUAACACGUGAGUAACCUGCCCUUGACUUUGGGAUAACUUCAGGAAACUGGGGCUAAUACCGGAUAGGAGCUCCUGCUGCAUGGUGGGGGUUGGAAAGUUUCGGCGGUUGGGGAUGGACUCGCGGCUUAUCAGCUUGUUGGUGGGGUAGUGGCUUACCAAGGCUUUGACGGGUAGCCGGCCUGAGAGGGUGACCGGCCACAUUGGGACUGAGAUACGGCCCAGACUCCUACGGGAGGCAGCAGUGGGGAAUAUUGCACAAUGGGCGGAAGCCUGAUGCAGCAACCCCGCGUGCGGGAUGACGGCCUUCGGGUUGUAAACCGCUUUCGCCUGUGACGAAGCGGGAGUGACGGUAAUGGGUAAAGAAGCCCCGGCUAACUACGUG